CAGGUAUGCUAGUGCACUAGAGCGAAAUCCAGAAGAUUACGAUGCACUCUACAACUGGGCACUAGUUCUUCAGGAAAGUACGUGCUGACAAUGUUGGUCCAGAUUCUGGUACACCUUCAAAAGAUGCUUUGCUUGAAGAGGCAUGUAAAAGGUAUGAGGAGGCAACUCGGCUUUGCCCUAGACUAAAUGAUAUGACUGCUGUUAGAGUUUGAGGUGUAAUCAUUACCUGAAAUGUGUUCAUUGAGAGUGGAGGCUUAUUAUAAUUGGGCUAUAGCCAUCUCAGAUAGAGCAAAAAUGUGGGGUCGUACAAAAGAAGCAGAAGAACUUUGGAAAUAGGCAACUAAAAACUAUGAAAAAGUCGUUCAGCUCAAUAGGAACAGUCCUCAGGCACUCAACAACUGGGGACUGGCUCUAAAGGUAUUCGGGAUUGUGUAGAAUGACACGGAAGUGGGUGAAUAUACUGAAGCAAAUAGACGCAAGAGAUCCGUUUCGUAUUGAAAUGACCGAUGCCCUUCUCGAAAAGCUGUAUAACAUGGGUGCGAUAUCAGAACGGAAAAGUUUAGCUAUCAGUGUCAUCCUUCUGUAGGCUGCCGAUGUACUCGCUCAGAUAGAAAAGGCCAACAAGAAAAGGCUGGGAAUUGAGUGGGGAAAGGCAGAAGAGGAAAGUUUCAAGGCAAAAAUUGAAGAGAAAUAUGACAGAGACUCAGAGAGGGUGAUCCGUAUUACUCUACAUCAAGACUUUGGGAUGACGGUGUAAUUGAUCCAGCCGACACGAGAAAUGUCUUAGGCAUUUGAGAGCGAUAGUCCGUAUUCUAUCGACGACAUAAAUGAGCUUCGAGAGCAUUGGUCAAAGUACUUCUUUUCAGAAUGCUUAUAACUUUUAUUUUAUUGAUAAAAAGUAUUUUGUUUUGAUGAUAAUAUUGAGUUGGAC